rnacentral:antisense_RNA from 1 species
CUUGAUCGAGCCGAGCAGCAGCGGCGUCGUGCGGUCCUGGCCGUAGGUGGCCAGCAGCGCGUUCGCCUC